AAGUCGUAACAAGGUUUCCGUAGGUGAACCUGCGGAAGGAUCAUUAUUGAAUAAACACUUGAUAGGCUGUUGCUGGCUCUUUUUUAGAGUAUUGUGCACACUUGUCAUUAUUGUUUUUUUUUCCCCACCUGUGCACCUUUUUGUAGACCUUGGAGAAAAGAUUGUCUUGAGCAAUCAGGAUAGGUUUGGGGACUGCUGUGCCUUUCAAAAGUGCCAGCUUUUCCUUGUCUCUCUAGGUUCUAUGUUACUCACAUACUCCUAUGAAUGUAAUAGAAUGUUGAUCUGGGUCUUUAGUGCCCAUAAAGUUAUAUACAACUUUCAGCAAUGGAUCUCUUGGUUCUCGCAUCGAUGAAGAACGCAGCGAAAUGCGAUAAGUAAUGUGAAUUGCAGAAUUCAGUGAAUCAUCGAAUCUUUGAACGCAUCUUGCGCUCCUUGGUAUUCUGAGGAGCAUGCCUGUUUGAGUGUCAUUAAAUUCUCAACUACACUGACUUUGGUUAGUGUGGCUUGGAUUUGGGGGGUUUGUUGUUGUGGGCUUUUUUGCAUAGUCUGCUCCCCUGAAAUUAAUUAGUGGUACCUUGGUGGAACUGUCUACAGAUGUGAUAAUUAUCUACAUCCUAGAUGUCUGCUGGAAUGCUGCUUUCUAAACCUUACCUUGUAUUUGACAAUCUGACCUC
rnacentral:rRNA from 1 species